rnacentral:rRNA from 1 species
AUGUACGGGCGCUUCGUCCAACCAGUGUCCCCGUCGUGUUGUUUCAGGCACGACAAGGAGGGGGAACAGCCAUCCUCGCUCCGGUGGCAUGCGGGCGCCAUGAAGGAGGAGGAGGCGCCCUCCUCGUUGAUCCCCAACGUGCGCAGCCAGCUUCUUCACUACCUCGUUCGUGUCGGCGGUGACACAUCCUUGCGCACCAGGAUGGCGGCUGACAAGGCGGAUGCCGAGGAGGAGCGGCGGGAGCGGCACAACGCAAUGUGUUCUUCAGCUUCCACGACAUGGGGCUUGCCGCCAAACUGGGUGUGCGCUGACCCAGGCAUUGUGUUAGCCUGGGCCGAAGAUCGUUCUAGGACCAUUGCGCAGAUGUCACCCACUGCCGACGCUAGAUCAAUGACCAGCUCUACAAGAUCGAGUUGGCCAAGGCCGAGUGCGCCGCCGGUGCCCUUGUGUGGUCGUCGUUGUGAGCCGGACGCGGACUAUCGUACACGAGGCGAAGGGAUUGCACCGUGA